UGAGCCCAGAGCACAUACAAAUCCGAAGGGA
rnacentral:piRNA from 1 species